rnacentral:lncRNA from 1 species
GGAGGAAAUAAUACAGAAGAUUGCAGAAUAUGAAAAAACCCCCCAAAAAGUCGAUUUUAGUUGAAGACAAAAAUCUUAACUAUGUUUCCAGACGAAUUUCUGCCCAUGAAGGAAAUAAAAUGCAAUUGAUAGAAGAAUAUUUAUCCGAAGUUCGAGAUAAAUUACUUCAAACUGUUGAGUAAAAUUCGGAUGCCUCAAUGAAUAGCACAGAUGCAAACACAGAAGAUA